CGUGUAGGCGGGCAAUCGAGUCAGAUGUAAAAGGCGACGGCUUAACCGUAGUAUGUCAUCUGAUACUGGUUGUCUUGAGUUCGAGAGAGGGUAGUGGAAUUCCCGGUGUAGCGGUGAAAUGCGUAGAUAUCGGGAAGAACACCAGAAGCGAAGGCGGCCACCUGGAUCGACACUGACGCUGAGACGCGAAAGCGUGGGUAGCAAACA
rnacentral:rRNA from 1 species